CCCCUCUCAGGAUGGCACCUGGAGAGUUUCCAUUAUUCUACCGGCCUCAGAUCGGAGAGGGAGAGUCAAGCAGAGGCCUACCCAUUCCAUUCCUAGCUUGGCCAGUGGCUAGCGUGUGGAAAGCCAUCUGCCAUAAGA